rnacentral:rRNA from 1 species
UCAAAGGAGACUGCCAGUGAUAAACUGGAGGAAGGUGGGGAUGACGUCAAGUCAUCAUGGCCCUUACGAGUAGGGCUACACACGUGCUACAAUGGCGUAUACAAAGAGAAGCGACCUCGCGAGAGCAAGCGGACCUCAUAAAGUAUGUCGUAGUCCGGAUUGGAGUCUGCAACUCGACUCCAUGAAGUCGGAAUCGCUAGUAAUCGUAGAUCAGAAUGCUACGGUGAAUACGUUCCCGGGCCUUGUACACACCGCCCGUCACACCAUGGGAGUGGGUUGCAAAAGAAGUAGGUAGCUUAACCUUCGGGAGGGCGCUUACCACUUUGUGAUUCAUGACUGGGGUGAAGUCGUAACAAGGUAACCGUAGGGGAACCUGCGGUUGGAUCACCUCCUUA